GCCAACUUAUUUUACUACCUGGGGUGUUCUGGAGUUUUGUUUCUAAAACAGAUUGUGUUUUCUUUUGUUCUGGAGUGUUGGUACUGAUGCAUAAAACUACUGCAUCCAAAAUGGCAUGGUAUUAUUAUUUUUAUUUUUAAAAGAAUGCCACUUGCCUUAAGCUCUCAGUAAAUCAAAAUAUGUACUCAUGUUAUCAACACUUGAAUAUUAGUAUCGACACUUGAAUAUGCAUUAUGAUUUAGUGCACGUUCAACAAAUGGUCAAUGGAUCAGUAUUUUCUGGAAACUUUCUGUUCCAUAUGAAGUUUUGAUUUCAGCUUGAUAUAUUAAUAAUAUUAUUACCAUGUUUCUUGUAAAUAUCUAUUUGAGAACUUUGCAGCUAAAUUGGUGCAUGUAUAUUAUAGAAGUAAAACACUUGAAAAUAGAUUCAGCAUGGUUCCUGCACUCCCAACUUUUCAUUGUUGACUGCUCGUCAGAAAACAAUUAUUCAUCAGGGGCAGUCAUGGUUGUUCGCGACUCCGCAAGAAGAUGAUCAAGGGUCGGCGGCACGGCUGCUUCGUCGUCAUCUUAGACGAGCACCAUCCAACACGAUUUUCCGCUUCCAUGUUCCAUGGAAUGUCACUACUUUUAUCAUGGCAUCCAACACUUGCAGAUGUGACUCAGAAGGGGGUUCUGAAGUUGAUGAACUUGGAUGGCCUGACAGUCUACCAUACCAACAACCAUCUCCAAGGUAGUUGAUUCUUUACAAGUGUUUGGAGCAACCAAAAUUCAAGUGAGAACACAAUACUUCGUUGGUGUGUCCAUACAUAUGUCUAUAUAUAUACGCUGGAACCCUCAAGUGAGUACGAAUCAAAUGAACGAUGCCCCAAGGACUCAGGUGCAUUUCAAAAUGUUAUAUUCCUCCCACAUUCAGCCAACUGGAGUAUCCUGCUCUCCCUUCUAGAGGUUCUACAUCCUUAUUUUACGAACCAGGUGCUUGCAUUCUAUUGUACUCCCUCCAUCCGGAAAUACUUGUCAUCAAAAUGGGUGAAAAUGGAUAUAUCUAGAACUAAAAUAUAUCUAGAUACAUCCAUUUCAAUGACAAGUAUUUCCGGACAGAGGGAGUAUCAAGAUGUGUAAAUAAUUAGUAAGUUGUCUGCUGAUUACCAGGUUCAUUGACUUAUGAAGGAACUCUUACUCACGAAAGUGUACAUGCAAUAAGUUCUGUAGUUCUCAUAUUUUUUUUACCAAAAGACAAUUGACUUUA